rnacentral:rRNA from 11 species
UCCGGUGACCAUAUGGUUGUGGAAACACCUGUUCCCUUUCCGAACACAGCAGUUAAGCACAACCAGCCGAUGAUAGUGCCCACCAGUGCGAAAGUAGGUAUCGCCGGAU